UCUCCGUUGGUGAACCAGCGGAGGGAUCAUUACCGAAGUUACCUUCAAAACCCACUGUGAACCUUACCUCUUGCCGCGUUGUCUCGGCGGGAGGCGGUGUGCGUCGCGCGCCCUAGCGGGCCGCGCCGCUCCCGUCCCCGCCGGCAGCGCCAAACUCUAAAUGCACAGCGGACUGUACGUUCUGAUUUACAAAAAAAACAAGUUAAAACUUUCAACAACGGAUCUCUUGGUUCUG
rnacentral:misc_RNA from 2 species